rnacentral:rRNA from 1 species
UACGUAGGGCGCAAGCGUUGUUCGGAAUUAUUGGGCGUAAAGAGCUCGUAGGCGGCUUGUCACGUCGGGUGUGAAAGCCCGGGGCUUAACCCCGGGUCUGCAUUCGAUACGGGCUGGCUAGAGUGUGGUAGGGGAGAUCGGAAUUCCUGGUGUAGCGGUGAAAUGCGCAGAUAUCUGGAGGAACACCGGUGGCGAAGGCGGCAUCCUGGACCGACAUUGACGCUGAGGCGCGAAAGCUAGGGGAGCAAACGGG